rnacentral:rRNA from 1 species
CCUACGGGUGGCAGCAGUGAGGAAUAUUGGUCAAUGGACGAGAGUCUGAACCAGCCAAUAGCGUGAAGGAUGACUGCCCUAUGGGUUGUAAACUUCUUUUGUCAAGGGACAAAAUCAGGCUCGAGAGCCUGACCGAGGGUACUUGAAGAAAAAGCAUCGGCUAACUCCGUGCCAGCAGCCGCGGUAAUACGGAGGAUGCGAGCGUUAUCCGGAUUUAUUGGGUUUAAAGGGUGCGUAGGCGGACUGUUAAGUCAGCGGUAAAAGCCCGGGGCUCAACCCCGGCGAGCCGUUGAAACUGGCUGUCUUGAGAUGUCGAGAGGUAUGCGGAAUGCGCAGUGUAGCGGUGAAAUGCUUAGAUAUUGCGCAGAACUCCGAUUGCGAAGGCAGCAUACCGGCGGCGAUCUGACGCUGAGGCACGAAAGCGUGGGUAUCGAACAGGAUUAGAUACCCUUGUAGUC